rnacentral:rRNA from 1 species
GAUGAACGCUGGCGGCGUGCCUAAUACAUGCAAGUCGAGCGAACAGAUGAGGAGCUGCUCCUCUGACGUUAGCGGCGGACGGGUGAGUAACACGUGGAUAACCUACCUAUAAGACUGGGAUAACUUCGGGAAACCGGAGCUAAUACCGGAUAAUAUAUUGAACCGCAUGGUUCAAUAGUGAAAGACGGUUUUGCUGUCACUUAUAGAUGGAUCCGCGCCGCAUUAGCUAGUUGGUAAGGUAACGGCUUACCAAGGCAACGAUGCGUAGCCGACCUGAGAGGGUGAUCGGCCACACUGGAACUGAGACACGGUCCAGACUCCUACGGGAGGCAGCAGUAGGGAAUCUUCCGCAAUGGGCGAAAGCCUGACGGAGCAACGCCGCGUGAGUGAUGAAGGUCUUCGGAUCGUAAAACUCUGUUAUUAGGGAAGAACAAAUGUGUAAGUAACUAUGCACGUCUUGACGGUACCUAAUCAGAAAGCCACGGCUAACUACGUG